rnacentral:rRNA from 1 species
GACAAACGCUGGCGGCGUGCCUAAUACAUGCAAGUCGAGCGCAGGAAACUGACGGAACUCUUCGGAGGGAAGGCAGCGGAAUGAGCGGCGGACGGGUGAGUAACACGUAAGGAACCUGCCUCAAGGAUUGGGAUAACUCCGAGAAAUCGGAGCUAAUACCGGAUAGUUCAUCGGACCGCAUGGUCCGUUGAUGAAAGGCGCUCCGGCGUCACCUUGAGAUGGCCCUGCGGUGCAUUAGCUAGUUGGUGGGGUAACGGCCCACCAAGGCGACGAUGCAUAGCCGACCUGAGAGGGUGGUCGGCCACACUGGGACUGAGACACGGCCCAGACUCCUACGGGAGGCAGCAGUAGGGAAUCUUCCACAAUGGACGAAAGUCUGAUGGAGCAACGCCGCGUGAGUGAUGAAGGUUUUCGGAUCGUAAAACUCUGUUGUAAGGGAAGAACACGUACGAGAGGGAAUGCUCGUACCUUGACGGUACCUUACGAGAAAGCCACGGCUAACUACGUGCCAGCCGCCGCAGUAACAC